rnacentral:misc_RNA from 1 species
GAUGAAGAACGUAGCUAAAUGCGAUAAGUAAUGUGAAUUGCAGAAUUCAGUGAACCAUCGAAUCUUUGAACGCACAUUGCGCCCGGCAGUAAUCUGCCGGGCAUGCCUGUCCGAGCGUCAUUUCUGCCCUCGAGCGAGUCCAGCAUCUAGGUGCUGGGCCCGCCCGGCGUUGGGGCACUACGGGAAGCCCUGUGCUGUCCCCCGUAGGCCCCGAAAUGAAGUGGCGGUCCUGCCGCGGCGCCCCCUGCGUAGUAUAACAGCUCGCUUCGGGACCCGGUGGAGGCCUGCCGUCAAACCUUACUCUCUAAGUUUGACCUCGGAUCAGGUAGGGUUACCCGCUGAACUUAAGCAUAUCAAUAAGCGGAGGA